rnacentral:lncRNA from 1 species
AUGGCUGGGAGCAAAAUAUCUAAACUCUGGGAAGGGGGAGAAGGAAAGGUUCUUAAUAAUCUUAAAUUCCUUGACCUCCAUAAUUAGGAGUUCUGGGGAACCACUACCCCCAUCGGAAAAAAAGCUUAAGAAGCAUCCUUCUUUUGGUGCUGGUCCCUUAGCCAAGUUAUAAUUGAUUACCGAGUUCCAUUUUGAAUGUUUUUAUAAUGAACCUCUACCUUCAUCUAACGGAAAUGUUGAGAAGCUUUCUU